GCGGUCGUCGUCCAGCCUGGUCUAGGACAUCAGCUUCCCAAGCUGGUAACUCGGGUUCAAAUCCCGGCGACCGCA
rnacentral:tRNA from 1 species